rnacentral:siRNA from 1 species
UCCAGGUUAGCUCAAUAUUAUUA